GACGAACGCUGGCGGUGUGCUUAACACAUGCAAGUCGAACGGUAAGGCCCUUUCGGGGGUCCACGAGUGGCGAACGGGUGCGUAACACGUGAGUAACCUGCCCUCAUCUCUGGGAUAACAGUCGGAAACGGUUGCUAAUACUGGAUAUGAGCUUGCAAGGCAUCUUGUGGGUUGGAAAGAUUUUUUUUGGUUGGGGAUGGACUCGCGGCCUAUCAGCUUGUUGGUGAGGUAGUGGCUCACCAAGGCUUCGACGGGUAGCCGGCCUGAGAGGGCGACCGGCCACAUUGGGACUGAGAUACGGCCCAAACUCCUACGGGAGGCAGCAGUGGGGAAUAUUGCACAAUGGACGGAAGUCUGAUGCAGCAACGCCGCGUGCGGGAUGACGGCCUUCGGGUUGUAAACCGCUGUCAAUUGUGACGAAGCGUUUUUGUGGCGGUAGCAGUAGAAGAAGCACCGGCUAACUACGUG
rnacentral:rRNA from 1 species